rnacentral:rRNA from 1 species
AGAGUUUGAUCCUGGCUCAGGAUGAACGCUAGCUACAGGCUUAACACAUGCAAGUCGAGGGGUAACAUUGGCGGAGCUUGCUCUGUCAGAUGACGACCGGCGCACGGGUGAGUAACGCGUAUCCAACCUGCCCAUGGGUCAGGGAUAAACUCCCGAAAGGGAGCCUAAUACCUGAUGUUGUGAGAAGAAGGCCUCUGAUUUUCACGAAAGACUUCGGUCGCCGAUGGAUGGGGAUGCGUACGAUUAGGCAGCAGGCGGGGUAACGGCCCACCUGGCCAACGAUCGUUAGGGGUUCUGAGAGGAAGGUCCCCCACACUGGUACUGAGACACGGACCAGACUCCUACGGGAGGCAGCAGUGAGGAAUAUUGGUCAAUGGGCGGAAGCCUGAACCAGCCAAGUAGCGUGCAGGACGACUGCCCUAUGGGUUGUAAACUGCUUUUAUGCGGGGAUAAAGUGGGCCACGCGUGGCUUAUUGCAGUACCGCAU